AGAGUUUGAUCCUGGCUCAGACGAACGCUGGCGGCGUGCUUAACACAUGCAAGUCGAACGAUGAAAUCUCUUCGGAGAUGGAUUAGUGGCGAACGGGUGAGUAACACGUGGGCAAUCUGCCCUGCACUCUGGGACAAGCCCUGGAAACGGGGUCUAAUACCGGAUGAUACUUCUGCUCGCAUGGGUGGGGGUUGAAAGCUCCGGCGGUGCAGGAUGAGCCCGCGGCCUAUCAGCUUGUUGGUGAGGUAGUGGCUCACCAAGGCGACGACGGGUAGCCGGCCUGAGAGGGCGACCGGCCACACUGGGACUGAGACACGGCCCAGACUCCUACGGGAGGCAGCAGUGGGGAAUAUUGCACAAUGGGCGAAAGCCUGAUGCAGCGACGCCGCGUGAGGGAUGACGGCCUUCGGGUUGUAAACCUCUUUCAGCAGGGAAGAAGCGCAAGUGACGGUACCUGCAGAAGAAGCGCCGGCUAACUACGUGCCAGCAGCCGCGGUAAUACGUAGGGCGCAAGCGUUGUCCGGAAUUAUUGGGCGUAAAGAGCUCGUAGGCGGUCUGUCGCGUCGGAUGUGAAAGCCCGGGGCUUAACCCCGGGUCUGCAUUCGAUACGGGCAGACUAGAGUGUGGUAGGGGAGAUCGGAAUUCCUGGUGUAGCGGUGAAAUGCGCAGAUAUCAGGAGGAACACCGGUGGCGAAGGCGGAUCUCUGGGCCAUUACUGACGCUGAGGAGCGAAAGCGUGGGGAGCGAACAGGAUUAGAUACCCUGGUAGUCCACGCCGUAAACGGUGGGAACUAGGUGUUGGCGACAUUCCACGUCGUCGGUGCCGCAGCUAACGCAUUAAGUCCCCGCCUGGGGAGUACGGCCGCAAGGCUAAAACUCAAAGGAAUUGACGG
rnacentral:rRNA from 1 species